AGAGGUGGCAAGCGUUGUUCGGAAUUACUGGCGUAAAGGGCGCGCAGGCGGCUCGUCAAGUCCCGUGUGAAAUCCCCCGGCUCAACUGGGGAACUGCGCGGGAAACCAGCGAGCUUGAGUUCGGGAGAGGGAAGCGGAAUUCCGGGUGUAGCGGUGAAAUGCGCAGAUAUCCGGAGGAACACCAGUGGCGAAGGCGGCUUCCUGGACCGACACUGACGCUGAGGCGCGAAAGCUAGGGGAGCGAACGGGAUUAGAUACCCCGGUAGUCCUAGCCCUAAACGAUGAGCACUGGGUGUAGGGGGUAUGAACCCCCCCUGUGCCGAAGCUAACGCAUUAAGUGCUCCGCCUGGGGAGUACGGUCGCAAGGCUG
rnacentral:rRNA from 1 species